GUGUUUGGAAAUCAAGUAGCCGAUUUCGGUUCUAGGCACUCGACGACCAAACACCGCUGAACUCUAACAAAGCAAAGAUGGCUGCCACCACGUGUUCGGUACACGAACGGUGGCCACACACAGAACGCUCAUUAACAGAUGGAUACAGUGUUUCGGUUUUACUAACGAGCGGCACACAACCUUCUGGGGUGGUCUCCCAUUCGGUCUUUUAGUUCGUUUCACAAACAGGGUUGGAAUCCACUAUUCGUGAAACUUGCAGCAGCGUGUUAGCGGUAUUCG